rnacentral:rRNA from 1 species
UUCUGUUGCCAUCAGGUUAAGCUGGGCACUCUGAAGAGACUGCCGGUGACAAACCGGAGGAAGGUGGGGAUGACGUCAAGUCAGCAUGGCCUUUAUGUCCGGGGCCACACACGUGCUACAAUGGCCGGUACAAACCGUUGCGAUCCCGCGAGGGGGAGCUAAUCGGAGAAAGCCGGUCUCAGUUCGGAUUGUAGGCUGCAACUCGCCUGCAUGAAGUUGGAAUCGCUAGUAAUCGCGGAUCAGCACGCCGCGGUGAAUACGUUCCCG